rnacentral:rRNA from 1 species
UGGGGAAUUUUGCACAAUGGGCGCAAGCCUGAUGCAGCGACGCCGCGUGAGGGAUGAAGGCCUUCGGGUUGUAAACCUUUUUCGCUCAUGGUCAAGCCGCAGCUUUGGGUUGUGGUGAGGGUAGUGGGUAAAGAAGCGCCGGCUAACUACGUGCCAGCAGCCGCGGUAAUACGUAGGGCGCGAGCGUUGUCCGGAAUUAUUGGGCGUAAAGGGCUUGUAGGCGGUUGGCCGCGUCUGCCGUGAACUCCUCUGGCUUAACUGGGGGCGUGCGGUGGGUACGGGUUGACUUGAGUGCGGUAGGGGAGACUGGAAUUCCUGGUGUAGCGGUGGAAUGCGCAGAUAUCAGGAGGAACACCGGUGGCGAAGGCGGGUCUCUGGGCCGUUACUGACGCUGAGGAGCGAAAGCGUGGGGAGCGAACAGG